GGCAGUGUACCAUAGUGGUAAGGAGGUGGGCUUAUAACUAAAAGGUUUCCAGUUUGAUUCCCCACUGGGGCACUGCCG